GCUAGGCGGCGUGCUAACACAUGCAAGUCGAGCGGGCAAUUACUUCGGUAGAUUGCUAGCGGCGGACGGGUGCGUAGCACGUGGGUAACCUGCCCCUAUCACUGGGAUAACACAACUGAAAAGUGUGCUAAUACCAGAUAACAUAAGCUUUUGGCAUCAUUAGCUAUCAAGAAUUUCGGAUAGGGAUGGGCCCGCGUCUGAUUUAGCUAGUUGGUGAGGUAACGGCUCACCAAGGCAACGAUCAGUAAGCCGACCUGAGAGGGUGAUCGGCCACACUGGAACUGAGACACGGUCCAGACUCCUACGGGAGGCAGCAGUGGGGAAUAUUGCACAAUGGGCGAAAGCCUGAUGCAAGCAACGCCGCGUGAGCGAUGAAGGCCUUCGGGUCGUAAAGCUCUGUCCUAUGGGAAGAUAAUGACGGUACCAUAGGAGGAAGCCCCGGCUAACUACGUGCCAGCCGCAGC
rnacentral:rRNA from 1 species